GAUGGUGUCGUGAGUCGUGUGGUCGUUGCUUAACUACUCAACUACUACGUCUUUCCGUUGCCACAUUAACAGUUGGCCAUGGUGGCCAUGAUCAACUGAUAAUAAAUAUAUAAAUAAUAUUUCCUCGAUAUUCAAUAAAUACGACAAUAUAUUUGGUAGCAUCAUCAGUUUAUAUAACUUUUGUUCAAGACUAAGUUUAUUACGAGAUUGAGUUUAGUUGCGAGAAUCGAAGUAAGGAGAAAAAAACAGAAUAGUAUCGAAACUGCAGCAGCAGCAUCGCCGUCUUUUAUUCCCAGUCGACCAUUUUGUUGGGACGGUUUGAUCGAUAACGCGUCGACGUUUUUUUUUGUUAACAAAUAUAUAAGUUUAUAAUUAAUAUCGCAAUAAGUGGGCGUUAUGAUAUAUAUUUGUUGAUUUCCUGGAUAUUUAUUUGUAAUUAUAUGGUUGAUGUCAAGGAAUCUUUGAUACUUUUUAGUUGAAUUAUUAUUUGGAUUUAAAUAAUAAACGAAAUGUAGAUAUAUAUAGAUGUAGACAUAUCUACUGAGAGCAGAUACUUGAGCUUGUUAACCGGUACCGGUUGUAUUGUAUUUGUUGUGAGGCCCGAGAGGAUUUAUAAAAAGGAAAAAUACGAUAUUUGGAUUUGUGCAGCAUUACAGAUUAGGUUGUUGCUGGAGACUUGGCCAUGGAUUCGAUGGAUCCACGUCUGGUGGGCCAGGCCCUGAAUUACCACGGUCAGCAAUUGCAAAAAGUUUGGGAAGGCGAACGCAAUGAAAAUGAACUUGCUAUGCUCAAUCUUAAAGACCCGAGCUUUGAAAUUUAUCAGCAGCGACAAAAAACUCUCAACUUUGGGGACAGAGGAAAGAGACUUAAACUUCAACAAUUUAUUGCUAAAAAAGCUGAUACUCUUUAUGACAAAUCUAAUUUAGAAAGAAGUGUUGAACCGGUAAAGCAAGAACUCGGUGAUGAAGAAUUUUAUGCAACGAUGCCGGGACUUGAUUCGUUUGUCACCAUGGAAAAAUCUCAACGCAUCAAGAAUUUUCUAGAAAGUUUAGUAACAGGGGACGUUAUUUUUGCACAAGUUAUGGGCAAGAGUUCUACCGGAUUGUUAUUAAAAGUUCUGUGUAAUUGCAGCGAUUGCCCAAGAGUUGUUACUGAUUUAGGCAUAAAGGCGCUGAUAUUAAAUACGGCAACAGUACCGGCCGUUGACAAGAAAGGUGUAACAAGGGGUUACAUGGCCAAUGACCUGGUCUGCGUGGUUGUGAGCGAGGUUAACGUUGAUGCUGAGCGUAUCGUUGCUGUUAUGAAUGUUGCCCCUCGCGAAGGUCAAGCUCCGCACCCACCAAUGGGUCUUAUACAUUCAGAAGAUUUACCCGAAGCAUACAAGAAAGCGAUGGACAACAAAGGACAGAGUUAUGAAACAAUCUUGGAGAAAAGUACUGGCUUCAACAAUCCCAACAACAUUAAAUAUCUUUGCGACUUGAUGGGUCUUGGACGGGAACACUAUUCUUUAAUGGUGGGCUUGAGAGAACGAUUUCCGCCAAAUGAGUAUGCCAAUGAGUUGAGACAGACCCAAGCUAGCAAGUGGGCAUUCAAGAGCGUUGCCGAGGGAAUUGAUCAUUUUAAAGCUGGACGACAUACUGAAGCCUUUCAGUGUCUCAACAAAGCACUUACUGUCGAUCCCAAAAAUGUCGAGGGUCUUGUUGCUCGAGGCGCCUUGUAUGCUAACAGCGGAAGCUUCAAAAAAGCUAUCGAAGAUUUCGAAACAGCUCUCAAGCUUAAUCACACCCACGCUAAUGCCCGUAAAUAUAUGGCAGAGACUUUGGUUGCGCUGGGACGAAGUUAUGAGGAUGAGAAGAAGUAUGAGGACGCGCAGAAAGCCUAUGAAAAUUGUCUGGCCAUCGCUCCGAUGCACGAAGAGGCGAGAAAUUCUAUUGAGUAUAUAAAAACUAAAACUGCUAGUACCACUGGGUCAACAUUUAACGCUUUGGAGCCGUUUAAAACUUUUGAGGGUGAAGCUGAGCAGCCGGAUGGUAAAAAGGACAAAAAGAAACGUAAGAAAGAGCGAAAGUCGCGGUCGAAAAAACGGGCGAGAUGGAGCUCGAGUUCAAGUUCUUCAUCCAGUGGGUCCUCGAGUUCCUCGAGCUCGGACUCGAGCAGUUCCUCGUCUUCCGGUAGCUCUGGUAGAUCAGCAUCGCGGUCGCCAGGCAGAAAAAGGAAACACAAGAAAGAUCAUCGCGGGUCUUUGUCACCGCUGAGCAAACGUAUGGCUCAGUACAAUAAUCCACCGGCUGCUUCAACUGGCAGUGGCUCUCAUGAUCCUCUGAGCGCGCAAAAUUACACGGGAAAUUCCCGCGAUAAAAUGGAUGAUUACGAAGUCAAAGUACGUAAAUUUCUUGAACAGACUAAAGAUGACAGUGACUAUGAAGAUAAAGUAAGAAAGUUUUUGGAAGAAACAGCUCGUUGGAAGCGCGAGAAAGAAAAGGAAAAGAAACAUUCCGAGACAGAUAAAUUGAAGAAGAAAAAAAAGAAAGAAAAGAAGGGAAAGGAUAAAGACAAGGAGGAUAAAAAAACACGCAAGAAGAAAAAGAAGGAGGAGAGAAAGAAACGUAGGAAUAAGGAUAAGCUUGAGCGUGAUUUAGAAGCGUUAAAAAAAUCAUCGUUGCCCGAUUUGGAACAACUUGAGUCGAAACUGAGCGCUUAUUACGCUAAAGUCGAAAAAGAAACAGCCGUUUUGAAAAAGUAUUACGCACAGUAUAAUGAAAUGCCUCCUUCCCCUCUUAGUAAUGCGGAUAAACUUGCCGAGAGCUCACGCCGAGAGGAAGAACUCCGUAGAGAAAAAGACCGGGACCGUGAAGAUGGUGCCAAAGCAUACCACGAACGUGACCCAAGGGUUCCGAUGACUUCUCAGCAGCGCAAAGGUACAUACAACGAUUACCUUGCAGAGGUUCAACGGAAGCCUCUACCAGAUCUGUUUGAUCAAGACUCCCAGAUGAUGCACUCAGAACCGAAGCUUCCGACCUUAGAUACCGCAGCACUCAAUGCUAAAUGGAAAGCGGCCCAGGCUGCGCGUCAAAAAGAGUCAUCACAUUCGGUUGGUAAGUGGCAGGAUCUCCAUCCCAUGGACAAAAAGAACUCGACACACAUCGAGAAUGAUGACCGGGAUUUAGAUGAAAAACUCCAGCGUUCUGCUGUCGACAAGUCAUUCAAUGUACGGAAACAGAUGCAACGCGAGUUGCAAGACAAACGUUCAAGCCAGUCGAUUAUUUCUCCGCCGAUGUCUGCGUCAAAAGAUCCUAUACAGAAACAAGCCCCUGUCAAAUAUCCCACGCCUCAGCCUCAAAAUAAAUUCCAGUCCUACAAGGACAAUUCGAUGGUAUCCCAGCAGUCAUCUAACAGUAAGUUCAGUUCAAAUUUGGGCGGGAAAUUUCAACCUAUUGGUCAAAGCCAUCCGCCAGAGCCACCGCAUCCGCCCUCGACAAAACUUCAAAAAGGUCCGCGGACAGAUUCAGAGAGUGAGGAUGACCAUCACAACAGACAACCAAGAAGGCGUGCGGGCUCACGUGGACCGAUGGCUAAACGAUUGAGCCGUGAACGUCCGAUGAGACGCUCGCACAGUCGCUCAAGGUCACGAAGCAGCUCCAGCGGGUCGCGCUCCAGAUCACCUCGUCGGUCACGCUCGAGGUCUUACUCUAACCGUCGUUCUGGAAGCUACGAGAGGAAGUACAGUCGCUCCCCAUCAGGAACCUACAGUAGAUCGCGAUCGAGGUCAAGAUCAAGGUCUUACUCGCGAAGCCGUAGUCGCAGCAGGUCCAAUGACCGCGGGUACUACAGAAAACGUCAGUUCCGGCCGUACAAUAACAACCGGGGCACUUAUUACAAGCCUCGUUUCCAAAACUUUAACAAUCAAAAUCACCGCGGAGGACCGGGUAAUUUCCAAAAUCGAAACCGAUUUUACAACAACAAUCAGCACAACAGAUUCAACAACAGGAAUCGCGGUUACAAUAAUCGUCUGAAUAACCGAGGACGUGGCAACGGCAACAACAACAAUCGCGGCAGAUUCUUCCACAACAAACCUGGAUACCGCGACUUCAGAGACAGACGGGACUUCCGCGAUCGUAGAGGAAGCUCGCGAGACAGAUAUAGCGACCGCAGCUACUCGCCCGACCCGAUGAGAAAAGUCGACGAAGCAAAGGAAAAAAUAAACAAAAUGCUGGAGAACCACGAGGAUAACCACGAAGAUCAGGGCAAUGCGCCUCCACCACCUCCACCCCCAUCCAGCAAGAGACACGACGGACCUUUGAGUGAAGGAGAAGAACGGGACGACGAUGAUUACGAGCGUUGGGACACUGCUGAUGCUGGGGACAACGCCAAUAAGAAGGUGAAGGUGAAAAAGGAGGAGAAGCUAGAGUAUCAGGAGAUACGGAAAGAGGACUCGCCACUCGAGGGAAAGGAUCACUUUAUUGAGCGUAUGAAGCAACGCAGUAAGAAUGUUUUGAUCAAACGCGAAGCCGCUGCUCGAGUUUGGUAGAAAUUUAAUCGUUUAAAAUUCAUUCAAGUGCAAGUACAAGCUCACUGACUCUUACAACUACGCCUAUUUUUAAUUCUUCUUACUCUCUUCAUUACCUUUCGAUCAACUGCUGCUAUUGUCACCGGUAGUUUUAAUUAAUAUAUUACAGUCGGAGUUAUUCAAAUCAUUAUACAUUUAUAUAUAUACAUACACAUGUAUAUAUAUUAUUAAUUAAUUAAAUAAGUAUAUAUAUAUACUCAUAUAUAUCUUUUUUCUUGUUUUUUAUUAGAUUUUCUUAGUGGAAAAAUAGUUUGAUAACUUUUGAUGAUCAUGAUGGUUCUGUAUCUUAAUCAAAUUUGUUUUCGUUUUCUUUUUUUUCAAAUGCGAUCAUCACAUUCUUAAUUUAAAAAAUUGGAUAUUUAAAUUUUUCAUGCCAUUAUAUUUGUAAUAGUUUGGCCUAAUUUAUUAAUCGUUAUAAUUUCCUUUUAUUUAAAGCGAUAAAAUAGACGUUUCCGUAACAAUCGUGACGUAUUGAAAAAACCGACGUCUCUGUAAAAUGUUCUUUAAAUUAGUAACUGUGUAAUUUCUUCAUUUCCAAUGAUUAAUACAUAUUUAAAUUUAAGUGACUGAUAAUUAUAAUUAUUUUAUUUAAUUUCAUUCUUCAGAACUUUAAGUCUCAGAGAUUAUCAGAGAGUUAUUGCAGGAAAAAAUAAAUCCUUUGAGUUAAUCGCUAACCAGUUUUGUAUCUUUCGAGUUCAUUUCUGUACGACUCCAGUUAUUUUAAUUGUACUUAUUAUCUGUAAUAUAAAUGCCAGCAAGUGCAGCGAUUGUUUCACUUAAAAAAUAAACUUGCUACGAUGAAGUUGCUCGUUUUGGUGGUAUUUUUGCAACUGUUAGAGAUAAAAUGUCAGUGCGAUCAGGACAACGAUGUCUCUGUCGACGCGAGCUCUCAAGAAGCGAACUCGUCUGGAGAUUCAUCUGUCGAGUGUAAUGAGCAUGCGUUUGAGGAAGUUAGUCCUUGUAAUGCUAAUCCAUAUUGUCAGAGAACGUGCGAAAAUCACACUGAGGAUCUAGACGCUUUUCCACUCCCCUGUCCACGUUCUAGAUCAUGCAUACGGGGCUGCGUCUGCAAAAAGGACUACGUCAGAUUUGAAUUGCAUGGGCCCUGUGUCCAUUAUACCAGAUGUCCUCGUGUUAGACACUAAUUUGUUUUCUUUUUUUUUAUUUCUGCAUUACGCCGACUAACAAAACAAUUUAUAUAUCAUUAUAUAUUGAUAUUGAUUUUACAAUAAAUGUCAGUUUAUUAAUCAAUUAAA